ACUGAACGCUGGCGGCAUGCCUUACACAUGCAAGUCGAACGGCAGCACGGGAGCAAUCCUGGUGGCGAGUGGCGAACGGGUGAGUAAAGUAUCGGACGUGCCCAGUCGUGGGGGAUAACGUAGCGAAAGUUACGCUAAUACCGCAUACGAUCGAUGGAUGAAAGCGGGGGAUCGCAAGACCUCGCGCGAUUGGAGCGGCCGAUAACAGAUUAGGUAGUUGGUGGGGUAAAGGCUCACCAAGCCGGCGAUCUGUAGCUGGUCUGAGAGGACGACCAGCCACACUGGGACUGAGACACGGCCCAGACUCCUACGGGAGGCAGCAGUAGGGAAUUUUGGACAAUGGGCGCAAGCCUGAUCCAGCCAUGCCGCGUGCAGGAUGAAGGCCUUCGGGUUGUAAACUGCUUUUGUACGGAACGAAAAGGUUUGGCUUAAUACGUUGAACUCAUGACGGUACCGUAAGAAUAAGCACCGGCUAACUACGUGCCAGCCGCCGCCGUAA
rnacentral:rRNA from 1 species